GUAGGGUGCAAGCGUUGUCCGGAAUUACUGGGCGUAAAGAGUUCGUAGGCGGUUUGUCGCGUCGUUUGUGAAAACCAGCAGCUCAACUGCUGGCUUGCAGGCGAUACGGGCAGACUUGAGUACUGCAGGGGAGACUGAAAUUCCUGGUGUAGCGGUGAAAUGCGCAGAUAUCAGGAGGAACACCGGUGGCGAAGGCGGGUCUCUGGGCAGAAACUGACGCUGAGGAACGAANGCGUGGGUAGCAAACAGGAUUNGAUACCCUGGUAGUCCACGCCGUAAACGAUGNAUACUAGGUGUCGGGGAGCAUGGCUCUUCGGUGCCGUCGCAAACGCAGUANGUAUUCCACCUGGGGAGU
rnacentral:rRNA from 1 species